rnacentral:rRNA from 1 species
UGGGGAAUCUUCCGCAAUGGACGAAAGUCUGACGGAGCAACGCCGCGUGUAUGAUGAAGGUCUUCGGAUUGUAAAGUACUGUCAUUGGGGAAGAACGGUUUUCUUGAAAAGAUUGAGAAGACAUGACGGUACCCAAGGAGGAAGCCCCGGCUAACUACGUGCCAGCAGCCGCGGUAAUACGUAGGGGGCAAGCGUUGUCCGGAAUUAUUGGGCGUAAAGGGCGCGUAGGCGGGCCUUUAAGUCCGGUGUGAAAGAUCAGGGCUCAACCCUGAGAGUGCAUCGGAAACUGGAGGCCUUGAGGACAGGAGAGGAAAGUGGAAUUCCACGUGUAGCGGUGAAAUGCGUAGAUAUGUGGAGGAACACCAGUGGCGAAGGCGACUUUCUGGACUGUAACUGACGCUGAGGCGCGAAAGCGUGGGGAGCAAACAGGAUUAGAUACCCUGGUAGUCCACGCCGUAAACGAUGAGUGCUAGGUGUAGAGGGUAUCGACCCCUUCUGUGCCGCAGUUAACACAAUAAGCACUCCGCCUGGGGAGUACGGCCGCAAAGGUUGAAAACUCAAAAUGAAUUGACGGGGGUCAUAGCUG